UACGUAGGUCCCGAGCGUUGUCCGGAUUUAUUGGGCGUAAAGCGAGCGUAGGUGGUUUAUUAAGUCUGGUGUAAAAGGCAGUGGCUCAACCAUUGUAUGCAUUGGAAACUGGUAGACUUGAGUGCAGAAGAGGAGAGUGGAACUCCAUGUGUAGCGGUGAAAUGCGUAGAUAUAUGGAAGAACACCAGUGGCGAAAGCGGCUCUCUGGUCUGUAACUGACGCUGAGGUUCGAAAGCGUGGGUAGCAAACAGG
rnacentral:rRNA from 1 species